rnacentral:rRNA from 1 species
UACGUAGGGCGCAAGCGUUGUCCGGAAUUAUUGGGCGUAAAGAGCUCGUAGGCGGCUUGUCACGUCGGGUGUGAAAGCCCGGGGCUUAACCCCGGGUCUGCAUUCGAUACGGGCUAGCUAGAGUGUGGUAGGGGAGAUCGGAAUUCCUGGUGUAGCGGUGAAAUGCGUAGAGCUCGUGAGGAAGACCGGUGGCGAAGGCGGAUCUCUGGACGGCCCCUGACGCUGAGGCGCGAAGGCUAGGGGAGCAAACGGG